CCUACGGGAGGCUGCAGUGGGGAAUAUUGCACAAUGGGCGCAAGCCUGAUGCAGCCAUGCCGCGUGUGUGAAGAAGGCCUUCGGGUUGUAAAGCACUUUCAGCGGGGAGGAAGGCGGUGAGGUUAAUAACCUCAUCGAUUGACGUUACCCGCAGAAGAAGCACCGGCUAACUCCGUGCCAGCAGCCGCGGUAAUACGGAGGGUGCAAGCGUUAAUCGGAAUUACUGGGCGUAAGGCGCACGCAGGCGGUCUGUCAAGUCGGAUGUGAAAUCCCCGGGCUCAACCUGGGAACUGCAUUCGAAACUGGCAGGCUAGAGUCUUGUAGAGGGGGGUAGAAUUCCAGGUGUAGCGGUGAAAUGCGUAGAGAUCUGGAGGAAUACCGGUGGCGAAGGCGGCCCCCUGGACAAAGACUGACGCUCAGGUGCGAAAGCGUGGGGAGCAAACAGGAUUAGAUACCCUAGUAGUC
rnacentral:rRNA from 1 species